rnacentral:rRNA from 1 species
UACGGGGGGGGCAAGCGUUGUUCGGAAUUACUGGGCGUAAAGGGCGCGUAGGCGGUGCUCUAAGUUAGAUGUGAAAACUCUGGGCUCAACCCAGAGCCUGCAUCUAAAACUGGAGUGCUAGAGUUCUGGAGGGGGUAGCGGAAUUCCUGGUGUAGCGGUGAAAUGCGUAGAUAUCAGGAGGAACACCGGUGGCGAAGGCGGUUCUCUGGGCCUGUACUGACGCUGAGGAGCGAAAGCGUGGGGAGCGAACAGG